UAAGAGAUACAAUGACUUUGAUAAUUCGCCAAUUGGUAAUCUAUGAGUACAAUAAUUAAAGUUUACGCCAUGCAGUCGAAUGCUUCAUUUUGGGUUUCAAUAAUGACGAGGAUGGGACACAGAAGCACGCUGCUGUUUUCAAUUACAAACGUUAUCGAGAACAGUGUUCAAGAGUUGGUCUAUGCAGUUUGUCGUCAAAGUUACAUUUGUGCUGCAUAACAUUUGGGAUGUUAAUGACAGGACGGUUUGCUUCAGUUGUGAAGGUAACUUUUUAUUAUAUACAUCGUUUAAAUAGACGGUAAUUUGGUCAUGUGAAUGAAAUUUUGUACGUGAUUUGAAAAUGCUUUAUAUACUCUUAGGUACAUAAUAAAUUAGACGGCUAUCUCUAUGCGAUCAAAAGAA